rnacentral:rRNA from 1 species
GCUUAUUCUCCGGCCGAAGAGCAGUGAUUCGAAGCAGUUCCGGUACUGUGGAUGAACCGGUAACUAGAGGCUGCCCGCAGGGAUCAAUCAGCGGCCCAGCGUCUCCAUCCGUAUUGCCAGCUGAGUGCAUACGCGGAUGACUUGCUGCUUCUCGUCGAGGGAAAUUCCCGAGCUGUGCUAGAGGAAAAAGGAGCGCAACUAAUGUCCAUCGUAGAAACGUGGGGAGCGGAAGUUGGCGUUGCCGUCUCGACCAGCAAGACGGUAAUCAUGCUGCUGAAAGGUGCCUUGAGACAUGCGCCUACGGUGAGGUUUGCUGGAGCGAACCUUCCGUAUGUGCGUAGCUGUCGGUACCUUGGCAUCAUGGUCAGUGAAGGAAUGAAAUUCCUCACGCACAUAGCUUCGCUUCGCCAGCGGAUGACCGGAGUCGUUGGAGCAUUGGCGCGUGUGCUUCGAGCCGACUGGGGCUUCAGUCCUCGGACCAGGCGGACGAUAUAUGACGGACUCAUGGCACCUUGUGUGCUGUUUGGUACCCCGGUAUGGUAUGACACCGCGGAACAAGUAGCUGCCCAGAGGCGACUAGCCUCCUGCCAGAGGCUAAUCCUGCUUGGAUGCCUUUCGGUAUGCCGAACAGUGUCCACAGUGGCACUGCAGGUACUUGGUGGAGCUCCCCCGCUUUAUCUGGCUGCUAAGUUAUUAGCGGUCAAAUACAAGCUAAAACGUGGAUUCCCGCUGGAGGAGAACGACUGGCUUUACGGCGAGGACAUUGCGUGUCUAAGCUGGGAGCAGAGGAAGACUCGCCUAGAGGAGUGUUUAAUCCAGAGUUGGCAGAACAGAUGGGACGACGAUUUUGGAUUCUCGAUGAGGACGUCUUUCCUGCUUACAGGGCACGGGUCGUUCAAUGCAUUUUUGCACGGGAGAGCCCUCAGCGAUACCACUGCUUGCGCAUGUGUAGAUCCAUAUGAGGACUGGAUGCACAUUUUGUGCGCUUGCCCCCUAUAUGCAGAUCUGCGGGACCUAGAUGGACUUGGAGUGCAGCGCCUUGGCGAAAACUGGAUCUUCGAGAGAAUCCUGGAUGAUCAAGAGAAGACUCAACGGCUGGCAAUGUUCGCGGAGGAAGUGUUCCUGAGGAGGAGGGGCGUUUAGCUCAACAUCUUUGCCGUGUGGUUAGCGGGCGAAAAUACUACCACAGUCCGCUGUUGCUUGUCGUAAGAGACGACUAAUACAGCGAUAGGUUCCUCUAACCAUGCUUGUCGGAGCAAAAGGGGGAGGCCCACCGAGCCUCUUUUCGGUACCACGGGUUGAGCAGCUAUCCAAGACUGCUCAUUGAGGUAGGCCCCCUGGUGGGAGUAUCGUGGUGGCUGUGGUUGGUACCCAUAUCGCGGGUAGAGCCUUCAUGCUCGACGUUUGAGUUACGGUGCUGGUUGCGCAAAACUCGGGUGCUGAGACCCAGAGAUCAGUAGAGAUUUUAGGUAGAUCUCGCUCCUCAGCAAGGGGGAGUGCUUGCCCGGCAAGCAAGUACUCGAAUUGCUACCGGGGUGGUCGCUAUGUACAUAGCUAUAGCUUCUAGCCCGGGACGCUUGUCUGACGUAUUCAGACACAUGCACCAUAUGCUCACUUGUGGGUGUAUAGGGUGCCGUGGUUGUAAUCCCUUCAGUGUGGAACACGCCACGUAAAACAAGUUCGGAGGGAUCCGAAAAGCAUACAUUGUCCCUAUCUACUAUCUAGCGAAACCACAGCCAAGGGAACGGGCUUGGAAUAAUUAGCGGGGAAAGAAGACCCUUUUGAGCUUGACUCUAAUCUGGCAGUGUAAGGAGACAUAAGAGGUGAAGAAUAAGUGGGAGAUAUUAGACCUCGGUUUGCUAUCGUCAAUGAAAUACCACUACUCUUAUUGUUUCCUUACUUACUUGAUUAAAUGGAACGUGUAUCAUUUCCUAGCUAUUAUACGGAUAUAUUUAUUAUAUCUUAUGGUAUUGGGUUUUGAUGCAAGCUUCUUGAUCAAAGUAUCACGAGUUUGUUAUAUAAUCGCAAACAAAUUCUUUAAUAAAACGAUGCAUUUAUGUAUUUUUGAUUUGAAAAUUUGGUAUAACUCCAAUUACUCAGGUAUGAUCCAAUUCAAGGACAUUGCCAGGUAGGGAGUUUGACUGGGGCGGUAAGUCUCUCAAAUAAUAACGGAGGUGUCCCAAGGCCAGCUCAGUGCGGACAGAAACCACACAUAGAGCAAACGGGCAAAUGCUGACUUGAUCUCGGUGUUCAGUACACACAGGGACAGCAAAAGCUCGGCCUAUCGAUCCUUUUGGUUUAAAGAGUUUUUUAACAAGAGGUGUCAGAAAAGUUACCAUAGGGAUAACUGGCUUGUGGCGGCCAAGCGUUCAUAGCGACGUCGCUUUUUGAUCCUUCGAUGUCGGCUCUUCCUAUCAUUGUGAAGCAAAAUUCACCAAGCGUUGGAAUGUUCACCCAUGCAAGGGAACGUGAGCUGGGUUUAGACCGUCGUGAGACAGGUUAGUUUUACCCUACUAAUGACAAAACGUUAUUGCGACAGCAUUCCUGCGUAGUACGAGAGGAACCGCAGGUACGGACCAAUGGCACAAUACUUGUUCGAGCGAACAGUGGUAUGACGCUACGUCCGUUGGAUUAUGCCUGAACGCCUCUAAGGUCGUAUCCGUGCUGGACUGCAAUGAUAAAUAAGGGGCAAUUUGCAUUGUAUGGCUUCUAAACCAUUUAAAGUUUAUAAUUUACUUUAUAAACGACAAUGGAUGUGAUGCCAAUGUAAUUUGUAACAUAGUAAAUUGGAAGGAUCUUCGAUCACCUGAUGCCGCGCUAGUUACAUAUAAAAGCAUUAUUU